rnacentral:rRNA from 1 species
GAUGAACGCUGGCGGCGUGCCUAAUACAUGCAAGUCGAGCGAACAGACGAGGAGCUUGCUCCUCUGACGUUAGCGGCGGACGGGUGAGUAACACGUGGAUAACCUACCUAUAAGACUGGGAUAACUUCGGGAAACCGGAGCUAAUACCGGAUAAUAUAUUGAACCGCAUGGUUCAAUAGUGAAAGACGGUUUUGCUGUCACUUAUAGAUGGAUCCGCGCCGCAUUAGCUAGUUGGUAAGGUAACGGCUUACCAAGGCAACGAUGCGUAGCCGACCUGAGAGGGUGAUCGGCCACACGGGAACGGAGACGCGGUCCAGACUCCUACGGGAGGCACCAGUAGGGAAUCUUCCGCAAUGGGCGAAAGCUUGACGGAGCAACGCCGCGUGAGUGAUGAAGGUCUUCGGAUCGUAAAACUCUGUUAUUAGGGAAGAACAAAUGUGUAAGUAACUAUGCACGUCUUGACGGUACCUAAUCAGAAAGCCACGGCUAACUACGUG